GUGCCAGCCGCCGCGGUAAUACGGAGGGUGCAAGCGUUAUCCGGAAUCACUGGGUUUAAAGGGUGCGUAGGCGGGCUAUUAAGUCAGUGGUGAAAGCUCCCGGCCCAACCGGGAAAUUGCCAUUGAUACUGGUAGCCUUGAGUGCGGUUGAGGUGGGCGGAAUACAGCAUGUAGCGGUGAAAUGCUUAGAUAUGCUGUAGAACACCGAUUGCGAAGGCAGCUCACUAAACCGAUACUGACGCUGAGGCACGAAAGCGUGGGGAUCGAACAGGAUUAGAAACCCCCGUAGUCC
rnacentral:rRNA from 1 species